UACGUAGGAGGCAAGCGUUGUCCGGAAUUACUGGGUGUAGAGCGCGUGUAGGCGGCAGGCCAAGUCUGUGGUGAAAUCGCUCGGCUCAACUGGGCGGGGUCCAUGGAAACUGGUCAGCUGGAGGACGGUAGAGGUGAGUGGAAUUCCCGGUGUAGUGGUGAAAUGCGUAGAGAUCGGGAGGAACACCCGUGGCGAAGGCGGCUCACUGGGCCGGUCCUGACGCUGAGACGCGAAGGCGUGGGGAGCGAACGGG
rnacentral:rRNA from 1 species